CCCAGGCUGUGGUUGUUUUCCCUCUUCCCCCCCCCCUUUUUUUUCCUCUCUUCUGCCCCCCCCCCCCCCCCCAAAUACCUGCUUUGCUCUUCACUAAUUCAUUAUUUUAACUUUGGGAAAAGUUUGCAGUGAAUUUAAAGCUAAUGAAGUGCAUAGGAAAACCUGAGGAGUCAGGUUGAUAGAGUAGCAUGGACUUGUUAAUCUCAGCCUGAUCUUGUCAGUAACAGCAGAGCAGAGGGAGAGAGAGAGGAACUCCGGCUGGGGCAGCGCUCCAAAGGACAGAGUGGAGUGCUUGUGAUUCCAGUCCUAUCAAGACCAGUGAAGGUCAGUAUUACACAUUUGUGUUAACAGUGCUGCUGGUCUUUUUGUGUUAUACAAAAAGGUGAACAUAAAUGGCCACUGGAGAAGCUUAUAUGCUAGGCAGUGAUCCAUAAGACCAUCAGUCACGAGAAGAUAAGACUUCACUAAAUGUGAUGGGACCAAGCAGCACUAAGUGGUACAAAGGACCAUUGACUGAGAAGCU
rnacentral:lncRNA from 1 species